rnacentral:tRNA from 1 species
GCCUGGGUGGUGGAAUAGGUAGACACAACAGACUUAAGAUCUGUCGAACAUCAGUUCGUGCCGGUUCGAGUCCGGCUCCGGGUACCA